AGUAGUAAAUUAAGAAUAGAGAGC
rnacentral:piRNA from 2 species